CCCUUCCUCUGCAUCUCCUGUACCAACCGGGAGAUGUCGCCGCAGCCACCGCCUACACGGCUCAUCAAUACGUGACCGACUUGCGGAACCAUCUCCAGACUACCUUUGCGUACGCUCAAGGACAAUUGGAAAGAAGUGCAGAAGGUGACAAGACCUAUUACGACAAAAAAGCCUCACACCAGGUGUUCGAGGUCGGAGAUAAGGUGUGGUACUACAUAUACACCAAACCCGCGGGCGUCGCAACAAAGUUCCUGCCCCACUGGACGGGGCCACACGAGAUUGUGGUGAAGCUAUCACCUGUAGCUUACCAGAUCAAAAUCAGCAAAGGUCAACAAAACGCCACAUUAAAGUGGGUCCACCGGAACCAAAUCAAGUUGUACACUCCCCCCAUGGGAAUAGAAGGGGUGCUAGCCAGCACCGAAUAGAUAAAAACCCUAGCAAAAACCCAGAGGUACUAAGAAAAUUCUUAAGUAUCCUCAGCUGAUCCCUUCCAGGAGACCAGUACGUUGCACCUAAUAUCUUUUAUUCUCUUCCCAGCUACCAGAUAUACAUCUGUUGUCACUAGUGAUAUCGUCCUGCGCUGUACUGAUUAAAAAUAAGAAAAACAGAAAAAUAGUUGUCAAAACAAUUUUUGUUUACGAAUACAAAUAACUGAAAUAAUCCAACAAUCUCUGAUUAUGCGUUUCUGUAGGAUGGAGUUCCUUUGGAUGAUCCUGACACUCUGCGCCCUGGUCAAAACCAACCCAGCAGACGUAAUCACGAACGGACCCCCUACGGGAAUCGUUCUCCGCGACGAUCCAGGACUCCUCAUAACUAACUGCAGAGUACACACGCAGAGGGUAUAUGUCCGCCUAGAUGCAGAGAAUGUGUACCGCCAACACAUUCCACCUGCGGCGCAUUUGAGUUGGGCCGGGGCUGACUGGACCAGCCAGGCAAUUAAGCACGCCCAGCUAGACACUGCCCAUAUGUUGGCCCAACUCCAAAAGUUCACAGUAACCCAGUCAGAACUAGCUGAGCCCAGGCGAGAAAAACGAUUCGUCGGGGCGCUACUAUCGAUAGGGGCAGCCGUAGGGUCACUAUUUGCCCUAGGUACCACUGCCGUCAACGCAGUCAGUCUAGCCACAGUCAAGAGGAAUGUUAGGGAGAUUACUGAAGAGAUGCCACUUAUCCAGCAGCAGAUGAAGGCACAGGCCCUUAGGUUGCAACAUGUGGGAAAGUCUCUCCAGGACACUAUUCUGGUGGUCAACACACACGCUACUCUCCUGAACAAAACUAUCCUGUCUGUAGGAAAGCUAGCAGAGGUCAUGAACCAUGACUAUGCCCAUGUCCAAUUGGUUCGAUUGUUACUGGAGGAUUUUCUCCGUGAAGUUAGCUCUUCUAUGGACCACUUGGCCAUGAAUAGAAUCCCCUCAUAUCUAGUGCCCCUCUCAAUGGUGCACGACAUAUUGACCUCAGCUACUUCAACCACACUAAGGCCGUUACAAUCACAUUUGGCCUAUAGUCUGGGGUCGGCCAUCCCAAUACACGUUGAUGUUGAUCGUAAUGAAGUGGGUUUUCUACUGACGCUGCCGGUUGUUGAACUGGAGAAUAUCUAUAGAUUGAAAACGGUUCUCAAUGUAGGAUUUUGGCGCGACAGUACCCACGUAAAGAUUGCCACGCCCCCAGUUGUAGCUUACCAGGAAAACAACCCAGAUUUCUAUCUCACCCCUAACCUGCUAAUGUGUACUCUAACCAAAGAUGUCCACUACCUUUGUCCUAGCAAACCAUUUGUCAGGGAUAACUCUGAGCGUCUUUGUGGUAUUAAAGCUAUCACCAGCGAAGAACGCUGUAGAGCCAAACUAACAGCCAGGGAUGGGGCCACCACCACACAAGUGGAGGUGGUAGGGAACCGAUGGUUGGUCAACACACCGUUCGCGUCCGCCACUAUGACUUACGAACGACAUGACUCCAUCACCCAAUUAAACCUCCCCAACCAGACUGUUUUUGUUACGGUACCAGAGGGGGCGAUUAUUCACGUAGACGACCUCGCUCUAUACCACCUUCCCGAUGACCGGAUAGACACAGAGAUUGAAAUGCCGGACGCUUUUGCUAAACGUUCCCUUGAG
ensembl:lncRNA